rnacentral:rRNA from 1 species
GACGAACGCUGGCGGCGUGCUUAACACAUGCAAGUCGAACGGAAAGGCCCUGCUUUUGUGGGGUGCUCGAGUGGCGAACGGGUGAGUAACACGUGAGUAACCUGCCCUUGACUUUGGGAUAACUUCAGGAAACUGGGGCUAAUACCGGAUAGGAGCUCCUGCUGCAUGGUGGGGGUUGGAAAGUUUCGGCGGUUGGGGAUGGACUCGCGGCUUAUCAGCUUGUUGGUGGGGUAGUGGCUUACCAAGGCUUUGACGGGUAGCCGGCCUGAGAGGGUGACCGGGGGCAUGGGGACUAAGAGAGGGAGCAGACGGCAGCAUGAGGCAGCAGGGGGGAGUAUGGCACAGCGGUCGGGGGGGGGAUGACGUGGCGUGGGGGGGGGGAAGAGGGUUUGCUGGUAGAGAAAAGCUGAAGGCUGAGGCACAGCGGGAGUGACGGUAAUGGAAAAAGAAGCACCGGCUAACUACGUG